GGCGGCACGAUCAUGCGAGGUGCCCCGCGGGUGCGGGGAGAAUCGGGAAGCCGGUGUGAAUCCGGCACGGGCCCGCCGCGGUGACCGGGGAGCCACCGUCCACGCGCGAGGAGCGCAGCCACUGGCCGUGCGGCUGGGAAGGCGGACGGGCAGGCGUCGAUCCGGGAGUCCGAAGACCGGCCUCGCGUCGACCGCCCACC
rnacentral:ncRNA from 13 species